GAUCACGUGGCGCAGCAGCAGCGUAUUUGACUCAGGACCAAGAGGUCUCGAGUUUGAAUCUUGACUUGUCA
rnacentral:tRNA from 1 species